CCACCAGAGUUGUAAACAUACAUGUGUGUACGUGCACACAGAGGCACACACCGUAUGGUGUGUGAUUUCAGAGCAAGUGUUUGGAACCAGACCUGGAUAUAAAUCCUGCUUUCACCAACUUUGGCUGCAUCAAUGCCUGCCCAGGGCCUAGUCUGCAAAGGCCCUCCAAAGGGAUUCUCCUUUCCAUCUUCUCCCCACUGUCUCACUAUGUGACCUUGUCCAGCUGAAAAGCAGAUGGAG
rnacentral:lncRNA from 1 species